AUGCUGUCUCUCUCUAUCCCUCAAAAAUAAAUUAAAAACAUUAAAAAAAAAAAAAGUACCGAGAAAUGAAAUGAAGGUGGUGGCAUUCAGGCUCCCGUACGGAUGGAGGGGAGUGGAUUGGAGGGAGAGGGCAGGACUUCGCGUGGACGCUCUGACAGAACACAGCUGGCGAUGUGGCCACGUCUGAAGUCUCCUUUCAAAAGAGCUCAGGUGGAGGGAGCCGCCCCGAUCCGGAGGAGAAGUAGCAGAGCGACGCUCCCCAGCACAGCUUGUCCUGCGCCAGCAGUGCCUCCGGCCCUUCCUCGCCAGGACACAGGUCUCUGCCAAGAAGAACUCAUGGAAGCAGGUCAGGUGUCUGUCUUGGCCCUCAAGUUCAUGGCCACCCUCUUGCCGAAAUAGACUGAUACCUGCUUUCACUCGGAACCAGCCAUGUUCCUGUUCAGGCCGACACUCAGUAGAGUCUGGGACAUCUGUUUUGAAGGUGAUCCACGGCCUCCUCCUGGUCCGAAGGUCACCUGUUUGCCAUCUGGGAAUUCACUUCGGGUCUGGGAGCCCCUCCUGGUUGCUUUGGUUCUGAAGAGAAUCUGGGUCUGGAGAUUGAAGGGUGAGGGGAAACCAUCGUGAGGAGGGGGCAUGUGUUGGGGCCCAGCAGGCCAAAAAACCUCCUGCAG